UUAGUUUUCAGGACAUCAGGUCACCAAUAAGAUUUGCCCCCACAAUAACAUGAGAGAUGAAGAUGAGCCUGGCCGUGCUGUCCUCCCACUUGUACAGGAUCCUUUGCUCCAAGGUGCCUUGGAGGAAUCGGUGGCUUCUUCCUCUGUGAAGGCGGCCGGACGCCCUCCUCCAGCUGCAUCAGCCGUGCCACGUCGGAAGGAAUAAGCUUGUGUUUCACCCCUGAAGAAGGGGGCUGGUAGUUGCCGUUGUUGUUGUGACAGUUCAUCAGAGGUGGGAUGUUCAUUACGGGUUUGCGCUCACAGAUCAAAGGCACCUGAGGACCGACAGGGUUACAGGAAGGAAAGAAGGAAGGGAAUUAGGAAGUGAAAGAAAAAAAUGAAAGAAUGUCAGGAAAGGUAGGCUUUAGGUAGGAACUAUUAUAUAGUAUUAUAUUGUGAAGAAGUGUAGAAUUUAUUAAGUAAAUAUAAAAAGUAAUUACAGACAAAAACAUCCUUCCAAAAUAUUUGCUUUAAUGGAGUGUUUUGACAUUUAAAGAAACAGAAUGAUGUCAUGUUGUUUUAUAGUUUCAGAAAGUAGUAUUGACAGUACUGACAACUUUUAAUCGUAACAGCUCAAUCAAUCAGAACCAUUCCUCGCUGUUUUGAAGUACCCUUUUAAUGAUGAACUUAGUUUGUGUCACAACUGUGCAAGUCUCAUAGUUGUAUCACUUUCUGCAGAGAAAAGAACUGUGGCCAUAAUUAAAACUCACCCCAU